GGGGAAUAUUGGACAAUGGGCGCAAGCCUGAUCCAGCCAUGCCGCGUGUGUGAAGAAGGCCUUCGGGUUGUAAAGCACUUUUGUUGGGGAAGAAAGCGUACGGACUAAUACUUCGUGCGGAUGACGGUACCCAAAGAAUAAGCACCGGCUAACUUCGUGCCAGCAGCCGCGGUAAUACGAAGGGUGCAAGCGUUACUCGGAAUUACUGGGCGUAAAGCGUGCGCAGGCGGUUCGUUAAGUCUGCUGUGAAAGCCCUGGGCUCAACCUGGGAAUGGCAGUGGAUACUGGCGAGCUAGAGUACGGUAGAGGAAGGUGGAAUUCCCGGUGUAGCGGUGAAAUGCGUAGAGAUCGGGAGGAACACCAGUGGCGAAGGCGACCUUCUGGACCAGUACUGACGCUCAUGCACGAAAGCGUGGGGAGCAAAC
rnacentral:rRNA from 1 species